rnacentral:rRNA from 1 species
GACCUGAGCUCAGGCAAGAUUACCCGCUGAACUUAAGCAUAUCAAUAAGCGGAGGAAAAGAAACUAACCAGGAUUCCCCUAGUAACGGCGAGCGAACCGGGAAUAGCCCAACUUGAAAAUCUCCCUUUGGAGAAUUGUAGUCUACAGAAGUGCCCUCUGUUGCGAAUGGAGACCAAGUCCGCUGGAAGGCGGCGUCAGAGAGGGUGAGAACCCCGUCGUCUCCAUUUUAGCUACACCACGAGGUGCUUUCCACGAGUCGGGUUGUUUGGGGAAUGCAGCCCUAAAUUGGAGGUAAAUCCCUUCUAAAGGCUAAAUAACGGCGA